GAACGCGAAAGGGGAGCAAUCCCUGAGUAGAGUGGCAAACGGGUGAGUAACACGUGGGUGACCUGCCUUCGAGUGGGGGAUAACGUCCCGAAAGGGACGCUAAUACCGCAUGACAUCCUGCUUUUGGAAAAGCGGAGAUCAAAGCUGGGGAUUCGCAAGAACCUAGCGCUUGAAGAGGGGCCCGCGCCUGAUUAGCUAGUUGGUGAGGUAACGGCUCACCAAGGCUACGAUCAGUAUCCGGCCUGAGAGGGCGGACGGACACACUGGGACUGAGACACGGCCCAGACUCCUACGGGAGGCAGCAGUGGGGAAUUGUUCGCAAUGGGCGCAAGCCUGACGACGCAACGCCGCGUGGAGGAUGAAGAUCUUCGGGUCGUAAACUCCUGUCGAGUGGGAAGAAUUGCUUCAGGGUGAAUAUCCCUGAAGUUUGACGGUACCACUAAAGGAAGCCCCGGCUAACUCCGUGCCAGCAGCCGCGGUAAUACGGGGGGGGCAAGCGUUGUUCGGAAUUACUGGGCGUAAAGGGCUCGUAGGCGGCCAACUAAGUCGGAUGUGAAAUCCCCAGGCUCAACCUGGGAACUGCAUCCGAUACUGGAUGGCUUGAAUUCGGGAGAGGGAUGCAGAAUUCCAGGUGUAGCGGUGAAAUGCGUAGAUAUCUGGAGGAAUACCGGUGGCGAAGGCGGCAUCCUGGACCGACAUUGACGCUGAGGAGCGAAAGCUA
rnacentral:rRNA from 1 species